rnacentral:misc_RNA from 1 species
UCACUACAAACACUGCGACUGCGUGGUCAAUCACUUUUAUGCCAUUUUUCAAUCACUGAAAUCUUACUGACA